AAUGGGUAGGAUUAGGUUGAUGGCUAUAUUACCACACAUACUUAGCAAUUCACGAAUUACUUCCAAGAUAGAAAGACCGCAAAAGCAUUUCAACCCUGGUUCGUCUUCUAUCAAGAUCAAAAGAUUGAUUUAUAUAAAUCAGACAACAUCGUUGGUGGUCAAUUUCUACUCGAACCAGUCAGAACAUUGAGUCUUCCCUGCACAAUUGUCAUCAGACGUAUUCAAAGAUUAAUAAUGAAAGUUCACGCAAUAAUCGCGUUGUUGGUAAUCAUCUACCAUGUAGACGUCAAUACAGGUUUUACGCACGAGUGCCGAUUACCAGAAAAUGCUACAGCGGGACACCAAUCCUUUAUUAAAUUCACUAUGGAAUAUUGCGCUGUAAGCUAUCCAAAGUCACAAGCGACAUGCUAUUCUAACUCAAAACUCGAAACUUUAAAAAAAGGCGUCAAAACCUACUUGGAAAAUUACGGUUUCGGGUUUCAUGUAAAAUAUUUUGGCAAAGACUUGUGUGUGUCGUACAGAGAGACGAAUCUAACGAAAAGUUUUAUCAAAGGCGUCAUUCAAAACGUUACUAAAUGCAAACAUAAUUGUUUUACAAAAAGUAGAAUGAUCGUUGUUAAAUAUAUCUACAGUUGCGACCUACCCACGACUCCAAAAUGCGAGAUCUCAAUUGAAAAAAUUCAUUUUACAAUUAACAAUAGCGUCACUUACGUCGUAUCGAAUAGCUAUCAAUAUUUGACAAUUAUUUUUUUCUGUAUCAUAUAUCUCUUGACAUCUAAAGAUAUUUAAAGGCUGAAGGGCAAAGUUUGUAUUGUUUUUCCAUAACUAUAAAUAGACUCUAGAUCAAAGUAACAUAUGAACUUUCCUCUUCACUAUUUUAUCAUCAGUCGUAGAUAAUAAACGAUAGUCGAUAGAGUAUUUAUUUCUUUUCUCGAGAUAGCCCAAUUCAUUGUAAACAAAAGCCUAAAUAACGAAAAAUUGUUCUAUAAAGUA